rnacentral:rRNA from 1 species
CCAGACUCCUACGGGAGGCAGCAGUGGGGAAUAUUGGGCAAUGGGCGCAAGCCUGACCCAGCAACGCCGCGUGAAGGAAGAAGGCCCUCGGGUUGUAAACUUCUUUUAUCAAGGACGAAACAAAUGACGGUACUUGAUGAAUAAGCCACGGCUAACUACGUGCCAGCAGCCGCGGUAAUACGUAAGGGGCAAGCGUUAUCCGGAUUUACUGGGUGUAAAGGGAGCGUAGGCGGCCAUGCAAGUCAGAAGUGAAAACCCGGGGCUCAACCCUGGGAGUGCUUUUGAAACUGUGCGGCUAGAGUGUCGGAGGGGUAAGUGGAAUUCCUAGUGUAGCGGUGAAAUGCGUAGAUAUUAGGAGGAACACCAGUGGCGAAGGCGGCUUACUGGACGAUGACUGACGCUGAGGCUCGAAAGCGUGGGGAGCAAACAGGAUUAGAUACCCCCGUA